rfam:Loxodonta africana unplaced genomic scaffold scaffold_33, whole genome shotgun sequence.
GGUGGUUUAAUGGUAAAGCGCUUGGCUGCCAACCAAAAGUUCAGUGGUUUGAACCCACCAGCCA